CCUACGGGAGGCAGCAGUGAGGAAUAUUGGUCAAUGGACGAGAGUCUGAACCAGCCAAGUAGCGUGAAGGAUGACUGCCCUAUGGGUUGUAAACUUCUUUUAUAAAGGAAUAAAACGAGGCACGCGUGCCUUUUUGCAUGUACUUUAUGAAUAAGGAUCGGCUAACUCCGUGCCAGCAGCCGCGGUAAUACGGAGGAUCCGAGCGUUAUCCGGAUUUAUUGGGUUUAAAGGGAGCGUAGAUGGGUUGUUAAGUCAGUUGUGAAAGUUUGCGGCUCAACCGUAAAAUUGCAAUUGAUACUGGCAGUCUUGAGUAGAGUUGAGGUAGGCGGAAUUCGUGGUGUAGCGGUGAAAUGCUUAGAUAUCACGAAGAACCCCGAUUGCGAAGGCAGCAUACUAAACUGUGACUGACAUUGAUGCUCGAAAGUGUGGGUAUCAAACAGGAUUAGAUACCCGUGUAGUC
rnacentral:rRNA from 1 species